AGGACGAACGCUGGCGGCGUGCUUAACACAUGCAAGUCGAGCGGAAAGGCCCUUCGGGGUACUCGAGCGGCGAACGGGUGAGUAACACGUGAGUAAUCUGCCCCUAGCUCUGGGAUAGCUCCGGGAAAACCGGGAUUAAUACCGGAUACGACCACCUUAGACAUCUUUUGUGGUGGAAAGAAUUUCGGCUAGGGAUGAGCUCGCGGCCUAUCAGCUUGUUGGUGGGGUAACGCCUACCAAGGCGACGACGGGUAGCCGGCCUGAGGGGGCGACCGGCCACACUGGGACUGAGACACGGCCCAGACUCCUACGGGAGGCAGCAGUGGGGAAUAUUGCGCAAUGGGCGAAAGCCUGACGCAGCGACGCCGCGUGGGGGAUGAAGGCCUUCGGGUUGUAAACCCCUUUCAGCAGGGACGAAGCGAAAGUGACGGUACCUGCAGAAGAAGCGCCGGCUAACUACGUGCCAGCAGCCGC
rnacentral:rRNA from 1 species